AGUGAACGCUGGCGGUAGGCCUAACACAUGCAAGUCGAACGGCAGCACAGUAAGAGCUUGCUCUUACGGGUGGCGAGUGGCGGACGGGUGAGGAAUACAUCGGAAUCUACUUUUUCGUGGGGGAUAACGUAGGGAAACUUACGCUAAUACCGCAUACGACCUACGGGUGAAAGCAGGGGAUCUUCGGACCUUGCGCGAUUGAAUGAGCCGAUGUCGGAUUAGCUAGUUGGCGGGGUAAAGGCCCACCAAGGCGACGAUCCGUAGCUGGUCUGAGAGGAUGAUCAGCCACACUGGAACUGAGACACGGUCCAGACUCCUACGGGAGGCAGCAGUGGGGAAUAUUGGACAAUGGGCGCAAGCCUGAUCCAGCCAUACCGCGUGGGUGAAGAAGGCCUUCGGGUCGUAAAGCCCUUUUGUUGGGAAAGAAAAGCAGCAGGCUAAUACCCCGCUGUUCUGACGGUACCCAAAGAAUAAGCACCGGCUAACUUCGUG
rnacentral:rRNA from 1 species